rnacentral:rRNA from 1 species
UGAGGAAUAUUGCCCAAUGGAGGAAACUCUGAGGCAGCGACGCCGCGUGGGUGAAGAAGGUCUUCGGAUCGUAAAGCCCUUUUCUGCGUGACGAGGAAGGACGGUAGCGCAGGAAAAAGUCUCGGCUAACUACGUGCCAGCAGCCGCGGUAAAACGUAGGAGGCAAGCGUUAUCCGGAGUUACUGGGCGUAAAGCGCGCGCAGGCGGAUGGAUAAGUGGGUUGUGAAAGCGCUCGGCUAAACCGGGCGAGGACAAAUCAGACUGUUCAUCUAGAGGCGGAUAGAGGAGCGUGGAAUUCCGGGUGUAGCGGUGAAAUGUGUAGAGAUCCGGAGGAACACCAGUGGUGCAAACGACGCUCUGGGUCCGAACUGACGCUGAGGCGCGAAAGCGUGGGGAGCAAACA